UACGUAGGAGGCAAGCGUUGUCCGGAUUUACUGGGCGUAAAGGGCGUGUAGGCGGCUCGUUAAGUCUCGUGUGAAAUCUCCCGGCCCAACUGGGAGGGGUCACGGGAUACUGGCGGGCUUGAGGACGGUAGAGGAAAGCGGAAUUCCCGGAGUAGUGGUGAAAUGCGUAGAUACCGGGAGGAACACCAGAGGCGAAGGCGGCUUUCUGGGCCGCUCCUGACGCUGAUGCGCGAAAGCUUGGGGAGCAAACCGG
rnacentral:misc_RNA from 1 species